AGCGCCGAGCAAUCGAUAGUGGUCUGGGAGUCGAGCGGCAGGCUGUGCUGUGUGAGAACGUGAGGAGAUUUCUCCUGUGCAGUCAUAGUUAUUACUGUGUGUGAUCGCUGCUGCACAGUCAUAGUAUCAGCCAUGUAUGGAGCAAGAUUAACGCAUCAAAGUCCAGCGCAGCGACAGAAGAUGAUACUGAACGGAAAGGUUUUGAUGACCCUUGGCCUACACAUACCCAGCCACCUUUAGCGACCUACCAGUGUGCAGGAUCUACAGGCCCAGCGGCAACAUCUGUGGGCAAAUGUACCAUACUGAACCUGCAUGCCUCCAUGCCUAACUGUAUGUCACCAUGUUUCCAGGCUAGAGGCGCCCAAAAGGAUACUAGAGCCUCCUUUCAAUUGUACAGUUUUUCCCAAUAAAUGUAUCCUGUCACUCUAAUAUUGUAAUCACAGAUAUCACUUUUAUA